rnacentral:rRNA from 1 species
CGUGCCGCGGUAAUACGAAGGGGGCUAGCGUUGUUCGGAUUUACUGGGCGUAAAGGGCGCGUAGGCGGACUGAUAAGUCAGGGGUGAAAUCCCAAGGCUCAACCUUGGAACUGCCUUUGAUACUGUUUGUCUUGAGUUCGAGAGAGGUAAGUGGAACUGCGAGUGUAGAGGUGAAAUUCGUAGAUAUUCGCAAGAACACCAGUGGCGAAGGCGGCUUACUGGCUCGAAACUGACGCUGAGGCGCGAAAGCGUGGGGAGCAAACAGGAUUAGAUACCCCUGUAGUCCCUGUCUCUUAUACAC